GUUUAAUGUCAGGAAGAAAGAACUCUAGACUGUGCGAGAAUGUUUAUAAAGGAAUUAGAUCGUUUACUGAUUUGCAAACAUGUCUCAGAGUUUUCAAGAUGGCAAAGAUAUCCAGAAUCACCUCCUUCUUCCCAUUCAUUCUCAGAUAAUGAGGGGUAGAACAGGAGCAGGCCAAAUGUUUUGGAGGAACGGGUAUGGGCUGAGGAGGGCGCCUGAGGACCAAACUCCUCCCCUUUCGUAAAUGAGAUAGCAGGGAACCAAUCAGGCAAAACUAUGGGCCCUACGUGGGUAUUGAAGAAAUUGCUGUGACAAUAUGGUGCUGGCCCUUCUCCGCCCCUCUUACCUUCUACUUCCCAGCAUUGUCAUGCAUGAAAGAAUCUUUCUGGUAACUUUGCCUCUGUGAGGAGCACACAGGUACGGCUCCCAUCCCUGAAGUGCCCCCUCCUUCCCAGGGAAAGCACGCUCAUGUGGAAAGCGCUCUGCCAAGACCUGAGCCGAAGUGGUGAUGCAGUUGCUUAGGGACUGUGAAGCAGCCGCUGUGGGAAGGAGGUAGCCUGUAUGCAGGUGCAUGGGUUGAGGACGAAGGUCCAGACAAGGUACCUUUGACCGGAGCGUGACCCUGCUGGAGGUGUGCGGGAGCUGGCCUGAGGGCUUCGGGCUGCGGCACAUGUCCUCCAUGGAGCACACGGAGGAGGGGCUCCGGGAGCGGCUCGCUGACGCCAUGGCUGAGUCCCCAAGCAGGGAUGUCGUGGGAUCGGGAACAGACACAGCCCUUGAAGUAGCAGUAGGACACAUCACCCCUGAGAGACACAUGGCUGUGAAGUGCUUGGGGAAAAAAAAAGGAAAAAAAAAACAAUGCCAACAGCCCAGCGUCCGUGAGCAACCCAACAAUAACAAAGCAUGCGUUCGGGAUGGAGGAAGAGCUUCAGCGAGAGGGAAGCAUCGAGACUCUGAGUAA
rnacentral:lncRNA from 1 species